rnacentral:rRNA from 1 species
UUACGGCCGCAUCACGUUGAAACACAGGUUCUCGUACGAUCAACGAAGUUAAACAAAGUCGAGCCUGGUCAGUACCUAAAUGGGUAACCACUUGGAAAUACUAAGUGCUGUAA